rnacentral:rRNA from 1 species
UACAGAGGGUGCAAGCGUUAAUCGGAAUUACUGGGCGUAAAGCGUGCGUAGUCGGUUAUCUAAGUCGGAUGUGAAAUCCCCGGGCUCAACCUGGGAAUUGCAUUCGAUACUGGAUAGCUAGAGUUCGGCAGAGGGAAGCGGAAUUUCGGGUGUAGCGGUGAAAUGCGUAGAUAUCCGAAGGAACAUCAGUGGCGAAGGCGGCUUCCUGGACCAGAACUGACGAUCAGGCACGAAAGCGUGGGGAGCAAACAGG